rnacentral:misc_RNA from 1 species
UCAUUAAUUUAAAAUUUUCCUUAUUAAGAGAUCAAAUGUGCCGUGAUACAAAAUACUCAAUAUUUUUAUCAAAUCAUUCGUCUUGUCUAGACCUAAUUUAUCAUAGGCCAAAAAUAUAAACAUGUAAGAUUCAUAUAUUUAAUAGAUAUAACUCAUUAUACAUCUUAUGCCUUGAGUUCAGAAUGAAUCAUGUUUAAACAAUAAAUCCGAUCUAAAUUUGAUUAAGUCACACAAUUGAUUUGGUCAGUGACUACCGAAUCUCUAAUGACUAAG